CCUACGGGCGGCAGCAGUGGGGAAUAUUGGACAAUGGGGGGAACCCUGAUCCAGCCAUGCCGCGUGUGUGAAGAAGGCCCUCGGGUUGUAAAGCACUUUCAGUGAGGAAGAACGCCUGGUGGUUAAUACCCAUCAGGAAAGACAUCACUCACAGAAGAAGCACCGGCUAACUCCGUGCCAGCAGCCGCGGUAAUACGGAGGGUGCGAGCGUUAAUCGGAAUUACUGGGCGUAAAGCGCGCGUAGGUGGCUUGAUAAGCAGGUUGUGAAAGCCCCGGGCUCAACCUGGGAACGGCAUCCGGAACUGUCAAGCUAGAGUGCAGGAGAGGAAGGUAGAAUUCCCGGUGUAGCGGUGAAAUGCGUAGAGAUCGGGAGGAAUACCAGUGGCGAAGGCGGCCUUCUGGACUGACACUGACACUGAGGUGCGAAAGCGUGGGUAGCAAACAGGAUUAGAUACCCCAGUAGUC
rnacentral:rRNA from 1 species